GACGGAGGGUGCAAGCGUUGUUCGGAUUGACUGGGCGUAAAGGGCGUGUAGGCGGUUUGUUAAGUCGGGUGUGAAAGCCCUGGGCUCAGCCCCGGAAGUGCAUCCGAAACUAGCGGGCUAGAGCGCGAUAGAGGAGGGUGGAAUUCCUGGUGUAGCAGUGAAAUGCGUAGAGAUCAGGAGGAACACCGGCGGCGAAGGCGGCCCUCUGGAUCGUUGCUGACGCUGAGACGCGAAAGCGUGGGGAGCAAACAGG
rnacentral:rRNA from 1 species